rnacentral:lncRNA from 1 species
CCACAUGUUGUGCUUGGAGGUAUUCCCAGUGAUUUGCUCAGCAGGAGACAAGUGGGAGACGGGCCCAAGCUCACCCAGAUCCAGUUUUGAUACCAUAGCGAUAGUUUAUUUUCUAAAUAAAACAAUGACAUCUACUUCUUCCCUUCAAGCUCUGCUUUAUGUAUAGCUGUUCAUAUUCUAAAUUCUUUCCCUCUGCCUAGCCCUGUAAAGCUAUAACUGGGAAGGUGCAGGAGAUACCUGGCCACUGACGCUACAAUAGUUCUGGCUAGAUGAUGAUGAGUAGACUUCAGCAUUGACAAGGUGAAUUGUGUGUCAGUGGCACCAGAUGAUUAGGGGAACAGUACUAUAGAGCCUGCAGUUAGUAAUGGGAUUUGUCAGAGGCACAACAAACGCAGGCAGCCAAAUGAGUUAUGGCAUUGGACUUUCAUUGACACAGAGAUGAAGGAGUCAGUUCCUUGGAAGGGCAGGAGUGCGUCUGGUCGUUUAGUUCAACAGCUAUGCUGCACUCUGCACAGUUUUCAUUUAACAUCUGUGUUUCAGUUUCUCCCAUACCUAAAAAGCUCUCUAGCAGAGUUUAGUUUCUGUCCAAUUGAAAAAGGCACAAGUGCAAUAUUGCUGGGAAUUAUAACAUUUAUUUAGGGUUGCAUUCAGGGCAACACUUGGAUAGAUGUUCAACCAGCUCCUGCCUCCUUUAAUUCUAGGUCCUUGCCGCAGGAUCAUAUUCAUCCAGUGCUUUACCAACUGCACUGGCUCCCGGUGAAGUACAGGGUCAGGUUUAAGGUGCUGGUUUUGACCUUGAAAGCCCUAUGCGGCCUAGGACCCUCGUACCUACGGGACUGCCUCUCCUGGUAUGCCCUGCGGAGGACCUUAAGGUCCACAAAUAACAACACUUUGGUGGUCCCGAGCCUCAAGGAGGUUAGAUUGGUUUCAACUAGGGCCAUGGCCUUUUCAGCACUGGCCCUGACAUGGUGGAACGCUCUGUCACAAGAGACUAGGGCCCUGCGGGACUUGACAUCUUUCCGCAGGGCCUGCAAGACAGAGCUGUUCCGCCUGGCCUUUGGUUUGGACACGGUCUGACCCUUAUGUUUCCCUCCCCUUAUGGUCUUGAUUUAUCAGCUAUUUUAAAACGAGGCUGCAUUUUAAAUUGAACUUUAACUUGUAUUUUAAAUUGGGGUUUUUUUCUCCCUCUCUUUUUCCCCUAUGCUUUUAUUGUGAUUUUAUUUUAUUGGUAUUAGCCACAUUGAGCCCGGCUCUGGCUGGGGAGGGCGGGGUAUAAAUAAAAAUUUAUUAUUUAUUAUUUUUUUAUAGUUACAAAGAUGAAAGGCUGCUCCCAUCUGCAUAGCUCUUUCCUGGAUUGUGUUUCUUGGUCACACUAGGGUGGGGUGGGCAUCUUUUUUGACCCCAAGAAGCACAUGCUGAUGAGCAAGCGGUGACUGUGGGUGUGGUCAGGCUCAGAAUUUCCCUGAUAUACCCCAACAUUCUUCACAAACAAACACACAGCCUUCCAACAGUACACAUGCAACAGCUGCCGCAGGAUGGCUGGGGAGAGCAGGUUUUAACCUACACCCCUCAACAAUUCAAAUGUGGGUCAGAUCACUGUCCCUGCACUGCACAGGAACAGUCAUAAUUCCCCCUGCCACCCAGUUUAUGGUUGAUAAACUGGGCAGCAGGGGAAAGUGGGUUGGCUUGCCCAGGUCACACUGAAUGUCAUCUAGACUUUAGGGCAAAGACUAGGAACUGUUUUGGACAUAAAAUAUUCUAUAGCAUGGCAUUUCACAGGCAGAGUUAUGGCCCUCCCUUUUCAUCCAGGUGUUUCUCCCCCCAUGGCCUCCUGGAUCACUCUUUCCUCCCCACUCUCCACCUCUGGGUCUACACUCUUCUCCUCAUGUUUCCUCUCCAGUUGUCCCUCCCGAAAAUGUCUUUGGCUUUCUUUCCUCCAUUUCUCACUUGCCCCCUGUUCUCUUAUUCUAAGCUCUGGUUGCACAAGGUCUUUGGUGCCUAAGCACACAGCAACACCUUGUUCCUAAUGCUAUUGUAGCAUCAGUAGUUGCCUGUCCUCAUUAGCUGCAGAUUCUCCCAACCUUGCAGGCAGGGUCCCCUCCAUAGUCAUCCCUCCCCACACUGCCCAAAUAGCCUUUGCCAUCUUCAUGCACAGAGUGGGGGAGGAAGAGAACUUGAGAUCGAACUGUGUGGCUGGAGCAGAUACCACAAAAGCAGCCACUCUAACCACACCAUCUUUUCUCCACCACUUUUUACCGCAGUAGAAAAAGGAUGCAGCAACUGCAACAACAGCAGGAGGACAACAACAACAACAACAACAGUGAAGCACCAGAGAAAUGGGAGAAGAAAGGAAGAAGAGGCAGAAAUUCUUGAGCGUCAAGAGUAAUGGUUAAGUAUUAUUUUCAUCCUCCAUGAAUUGCUCUAAUCAUUUUAAGACUGUUGUUUUUCACUUGUUGAUCUUCAUCUGGAAAAUAUGUUGAAGAAUUCAGAGAGUCUUAAUGUUGCACUUCUCUUGGCUUGUAUGUAGCACUGGCCUGCCUCCAAAAAGUCAAAGCCUACACAUCUAGAAACACUUACUGCAAAUUCUAAUGUUCUCCUUAUAUGCAAUGUUAAUCCCUAAAAGAUAAAAGAGCUUUGAAUGAUAAAUUAACACAUUCUGAUAGCAUGCUUUGAUCUGUGAAAAAUGCCAGAGGGUUCUGAUAUGCCAAUUAUAAAAAGAAAUCUGAUGGCAGUGGUGGGAAGGAAUAGGGAUUUAGAAAGUCUUCUGUCUCAUUUAGUUGCAUGCUAUCAACAGCUGACAGCAAAUAACCACCUUCACAGAGCUUUACUCAGUCGCAAGUGAAAAACUAGGCCAGAGUAAGGCCUGUAUAAAGUGUAGCUUCCACAAAAGCAGCAGGAAGGGACUGGUAUGGAGAACCAGCACAUAACAGUUCCAGGAAAUCAUUUUAUCCACAUUUAUUGUUGAACUUAGCAUUCAGGUACAGUUCUAUGGAUGUCCCCACCUAAUAAUGAUGUUUUCAGAAACCAUAAUAAAGCAACAUUAUAUUGGGAUGGCCCAAGUCUUUUCAAUUGCUUUUUAAAGUAUGGCAUAACAAAUAAGCAUAUAGAAUCAUAGAAUCAUAGAGUUGGAAGAGACCACAAGGGCCAUCGAGUCCAACCCCCUGCCAAGCACGAAACACCAUCAGAGCACUCCUGACAUGCUCUACAACAGGGGUAGGUAACCUAAGGCCCAUGGGCCAGAUGAGGCCCAAUCACCUUCUCAGUCCGGCCCACGGACUGUCCAGGAAUAAGCGUGUUUUUACAUGAGUAGAAUGUGUCCUUUUAUUUAAAAUGCAUCUCUGGGUUAUUUGUGGGGCAUAGGAAUUCAUUCAUAUUUUUUUUCAAAAUAUAGUCCGGCCUACCACAUGGUCUGAUGGACGGUGGACCAGCCCACAGCUGAAAAAGGUUGCUGACCCCUGCUCUACAACUAGUAAUUUUCAAGCUAUCUUGAUGGGGUAAAGAAGCUUGCAUGUUGGGUAGGCAACAGGGUCACCAUUGUCACUAUGUUCCUGUCCUCAUACUUUUCCUAAAUCAUUUCUAUUUCCCCAUGUCUUUAGUGAACACCAUCUUUCAUCUCUUCAGCAGCUUCACUUAAAUGUCCUCCAUAUGUUAAAGAAGCCUCUGAGUUAUAGAGACAUUGUAUGAAGUAAUGGUUACUGACAUCAAGAAAUACAGUUAACAGGUCAAGGAGGAUUUUAAAAAGCCAACAUUACUUUCAGUAAGCUCAAAAUAAAAACAGUUCCCCAAAUCCAUGUAAACAUCACAUGAAUCUGACUUGGGAGGCCAUGCUUUAUUCAUGCAUAAAAUAAUUUUAUUUCAGUAUUCGACUACUACCCCCAGUGGAAUCAAAUUGCUGCCCAGUGCUUCCUACAUUUCCUGUGCUCUUGCUGGAAGUCAUGGGAAAGGCAGAUAUAGUAGCUUUCUUCCACAGUUAACUUAUGUUGCCGCAAGCAGUCACAAAAGAACUGAAGGAACAUUUGGUGGAGGUGCUUUUGGGGAGGGUGACAUAAAGGAACACCACAUUCACAUAGUUGCCAUCUAUCUCCGGAGACAAUGGAGGAGUACGCCUUUGUGGUCAAACAGUUGACCACAAAGUUACUUGGUGUAACUGUAGAGACUGAUAUGGGAGACACAUGUUUUGUUGCAGCUGGGGCUGAUGAAGGCGCCCAGUUAUGCUGCUGCAGCUGCACCAUGGCGUUUCUUCUCUCUGCGCUCCUCCCAGCAGUGGGGGUUCCCUUGAUGGUUCCCCAGCAGGUGCCUCCUACCACUCCUCUGCAGCCAGACAGUCCACGACAGCUGUCAGCCAGUGUCUUGGACCAAGACACUGCUACUUGGACCAAUGAUCUAAGUCAGUAUAAGGUAACUGCCUACAUUCCUAUGCAACACAUCCACACUGAUGUCUGCCAAGGUUGACUCUAGAGUUUAGUGUUGGACCUCAGAAUUGCCAAAUGUGAACUGAGAGACCCUAAAAAUGUGAUUAUUGCAUUGCCCUCGGAUAAUGUGGUCAACGUACUGUCUUUUCAGUUGUUCUCCUAAUUAAGGAAUUCCCAAUUAGCUUCCGCAGAAUCUCUGGUUCCCUAUGGAUGGUUAUGUCAUAUUCCUUGCUUAAUACUUUUGAAUUAUUAGGUUGUAAUGCUUAGCACAUUUCAAAUAUUUGCAAACAUUCAGUUCUGCUUGAAUGUGAGCCUCUUUGUAAGUCACGUACAUGGUUAAACUAAAAGUUUGACAGUGACGUCUUCACAUUUCAGCCAUGUUAGUUUCCAGUAUAUAGCAUCUUCUUACUAGGAAAGGAUAUUACCAGUCGAGCUUGUACAUCAAAUUUCCUUCCACCAUCCAAAAUCCAUCAACUUCAUUUAAAAUGUAUUGUACACUUCCCGUUGUAGACAGCCAACAUGUGUUAGCACAAGAUGCAUCUGGCAUUAAAAGGCAGUAUUACAAACCUCUGCUUUGGCAGAAUUUGUAUGACAAAAUUCAUAUUUUGUCUAACUAAAUGUGCACUUGACAGCUGAUCCAUAACCAUCCUAUAUACUAAUAGCAAAAUUAUUCUCCAAUAAUAAAAAUAAUAAUUUAUUAUUUAUACACCACCCAUCUGGCUGGGUUUCCCCAUUGUGGACUCUUACGCAGUCAGAACUUUACCAUCCCUGCACAAGGGGCAAAUAUCAGCAGGCCUGAGGGAAAACAAAAAAAUUGAAAUAGUACCCAAACAAAAACCUUUUAAAAAAAUACUCAGGGGAGGAACCUUAAAAUGGCCAAAUAACUGACCAUGCUCAGUUGCAACAGAAUACUGUCUGUCAGGGUAGGCUAAUGAAAAACCCAAGAGGGGGAGACUGGAGAAACUUGGAAGAAGGCUGGCUGGCUGGCACCUUGAACAGGAGCGCUCCACGCUUCAACAAGGUCAUAUUUGUCUCUUCAAAUAGCCAUAAAGAAAUCAUAACUAACAUAAUUCUGAUGUAACACAGAGGCAUGCAUGCAGAAGACAAGUCAAGAAUUCAAAGACAAUAUCAUAAGAACUAAUUCACAGUUUAAAUUCUUCCAAACUCCGAUGACUGGAUCUUGGGUCGCAAUAUUGUUGAGGUCAGAUUACUGAACAAAGUAGACAAAGCUACCACAUGCUAGGACUUCACAAAACUAUAAAUAAAAAUUAGUGUUUGUCAAGGGGGUGGUUAUUGUUUCAUUGUUUCUAACUAUUUGUGCUUUUAUUUCAUGUUUUGAUCUUGUGAACCUCCCUGAAAUUCUUUUCAUGAAGGGUGAUAUAUAAAUCUAAUAAAUAAAAUAGAAUCAAUUAUCUUUGUUCUGUGUGCUGCUCAGCGUACCUGAGUUAUCUUGUCACUUAUGGUGUGCCUACUAGCUUGUAAAAUAUCUUAAAGUUGUGUCCUGUUUAAACUUAGAGCCUGUUGCACUGUGGUCUCCAUCUGCCUCACAAAUCUUUGUAUCCGAUCAUACAUUCUUUUUUUUAAAAUAUAAUUUUUAUUAACAGGCCAAUCAAAUCACAUUAUUUCCAAAUCACAUUAGUUCCAAAUUAUACAGCCAGAUUUUAAAAUUUUGUUGGGGGUGCCCAUACUCCAAGCUCUGAACGGGGGUCCAAACAUCACUUAUAUUGCUGCUUUAAUUAGACAGUUCUAUCUAGUUCUGUCCAGAUAGUCUCUUUAUUACUUUCUUCAUCUUCUUGUUGUUAUCGUAUUUUCCUUUCUUUGCGAUCUCUGAUAAUCUUCACAAGCGGGUUGGAAACAAACAUCCUCUAUGUGGGUUUUACACUCUCCAAAAAUCAUAUCACAUAGGGACAGACACCAUUCCACACCUCCGUAGAGAAUUUAUCCUAGGUCUGUCCAUUAAUUUUCCCAGGCUUGCCAAGUAUAUCCGAGGGCUCUGCCAGGUUUAGAUCACAUUCCAUUCAUCAUUCACAUUCCGAUGGUCCUGGUCCUCCUCCCCCCGUCUUUCUUAGACAAGCCUGUCUUAGCAAGACGCCAUUUAAAACUGCGUCAUAAAAUUUUCCUCCGUUCUCCGAUAUUUACCAAUCCUCUCUUUGAUCAAUAAUUCACUCCACACAGUUCUUAAAUUCCUGCUUCUGAUUAAUAAAAUGCAACGAUUCAUCUUUCUGGGGUGGAGGGUUAUUAAUACUCACAUAAGGCAAAGAAAAGAAAAGUUUUUUCCUCCACCCCCUUCCGUUUCACUCCAAACAUACCAGUCUCUUAAUGGUGGUUCAUCACUUGAUUUAUUUGUACCGCCCAUUGCUCCGGUCACAGAGAUCCAUUAAUCAGCAGUCUUAACUCCCAAACUUCACUUGAUGUAUGUGCUUCAGCUUCUUUCCAAUUAGAUAUUUCCAAUUAUAUUUUCGAGCUGAAGCAAACCAGAGCAUGAUUGGAGAAAGCGUCAGGAAGAGCCGACUUCACCGAGGGCUUGUGCCAAGUGACCGGGCACCCCCUUCUUUCGAUUCCGGGGGUGCAUUAUGGACACCGCUGGCAAGGCAGUCCCCCCCAUCUCCUUGGGGGGUCGGGAAGGCUGCAUACUUCCCAUAGCAGCCUCUAUGUGGGUCGGAGAGAUGUUAUUGUCGGCCAUCUUCCAAUGCGCCACCUGGUGGCCCCCCGUAUCCGAUCAUACAUUCUAUUAAUUUCAGACAUUGCAAGUCAAGACAACCAAACAUUUAUGUCUGUGAUGGUCCCAUUUGUCAAAUUCAGGUGUAGUAUGAACUGAAAAUCUUUUCAUCUGGUCGUGAAGCUCCUGCUCAGAAUGUUAAAGGACUUUCUGCACCUAUGUGAUCAGCAUUCAGCAGACUAGACAACUGUUAUGUGGGAACAUGCACCUAAGUUCUUUAAUGUUAACCCACUAUUCUAAAUUAAGCUCUCAUUGGUUGCUAUGUACUAUAUGAUCAGACCAUCCCCCAUAGCAGCCUUUCAUUUUGGGAAUAUCUUUGUGUCAGUUCUCUCAAAGGCUAUUUCAAAAAAUGUAAUGAAAUAUGCAUAUGGGUUAGGGUUAUGCAAAUGCUCUGGGCUAGGAGUGGUAAAACAAAAAUUCAGUUCUUGGAGAAUAUUAUAAAAUGCAUGUAUUUAGCACCACCAGCUUGGUUAUACUAACAUUAGCUGGGAGAAAACAACUUAACUUUUUCUCCACAGUCUCUGAGAAGGCUCAUAAAAGCUGAGCCAUACUGAGCUUGGGCAUAUUUGCUGCCCUUAAUUUAGGCAGCCAAAAUUAUCAUCCAUUUCUGAAAAGCUAACGUCUACCUAAAUUUUCUUUUGUCCUUAUUUAAAGUGCAUGGUGACAUUUUAUAUAAGAGUUUCAACACACACAGCUCAUUCUCUAGUUAAUGGAGGAAAGUUGAAAGUGCAUGCAAGGAUAAACAAAUUUGUCAACUUCUUAAAAUGUUUAUACUUCUUGGAAAUGUAGUGUUUCUAAAUAUAAACCCUGUACUGUUAACAUUCUGUUCAACGUUCUGAACAGCAAGUUCUACAUACAAGUUCUACAACUGUUGCAUAGAAAUUAACAGGAACUACAGAGACAGGUUACUUGUGCCCCACAGGCAGAAGCAUAGUGGAUGAAGCCUCUUGGAAGAAACAUGCAAUGGCCACCGAAACUGAGUGUAUAAUGGCCGCAAACAUUACUGGAUACAGCUACACAGAGACAAGUGGCAUGGCAUAAGGUCAGCAACCUGUUUCUGACAACCCAAGUUUUGCGAGAAUGUUUUGUUCAACCUAGGCUGCUAAAGUCAUGCUGGGAAGUCAUAAAGCAUCAGCAAUCAACAGCCCACACGAUUAUGUGCCCAAACAGCAGCCCCCUCUAAACUCUGGAGAAUCACCUCCCCCCCAAAAAAUCUCAAAACUCUAGCAUUUUUCUUCUGUUGGCCACCAAAUGUAGGGUGCUUGGAUUGCUAAACAUUCCACUUUCAAACAAACACAACAUUUAAAUUCAGCUCUAGUUAAAAUGUGCAAAUUAUAUGAUUGCCUCUAGACUUUCUGUUUUGACUUAAUUAACCCUUCUGGCAAGUACCCUGACUAGGGUGUUAAAUAAAUAUUGUCGCUAUUGGCCUUAGUCCAAAGAGCUGCAUUAGGUAUGUUGAGCAGCCUGCAAGCAUCCACCUACUUUUGAAAAGAAUAUUGUUGUUUGAAAAGGAGAAGUUUGAAAAGUCUGAAUCCCUUGUGUGCACACAGACAAGGAAGUUCUGGACUGUGGUGAAUACGUUUUGGGUUUCUAGAUAUUUUUCACCCCGAACACCAACAGCUGUUACUUUGCGUUGUACAUGACAGCAUGAUCAGCUGGUGUUGAAAGGUUAAAACUUUGUUGGUUUUCAUUUCACUGCAGGAGAAGCAAAACCUUGUCCAGGAAGGACAAUUCUUUAGCUACUUUCUUACUAUAAGAAUUCUGCAAGAUAAAACAAACUUCAUUAGGAACAUUUUAAGAAAAUGUUUUGAGUUGAUCUUUGUUCAUGGCUCGUCUCUGUACUGCUGUUCAUUUUCCCUGUCAGUGUGUUGAAUACUAUAUAAACAAUAUAUUUUAAACCACAGUAUCAGUACAAGAAAACACCUUUCCAUGUGGCAAUAAUCACUCAUUUUGACUCUCACGGGCCAAAUCUUCAUCCCUGGUAACUUACUUAAGCCCAUUUUGUCAUAUAUGACCAAUCCUAUUAAACAAAACUUUGAUAAAUUAUCACAAAAUCCAGCCAGACACCAUUUCUCUCUCUAAUACAAAUUCUCCUUCUGCCACCUUCUGCUACAGACUAACCUUUUUGGAUAGGAUGGUGCUGUUUUUUUGUGUUAAAAGACAUCCAGGCACUUCUCACUUAUCCUAGUUUAUUUCAGUAUGAUUUGUGAUGCACCUUGUUCAGUUGUUUAAUCACAAUAAUGUAUAACCCGCUCCUCCACUGAGAUCCUCCACUGAGAUCACAGUGCUUAGGGCAGCCUACAAUAAUAUAAAAGAAAACAAAAAACGAACAAUACCAUAUUGUGAACCUGGAUAAAGGCAGGGUGUAGUGCAGAGUUUGCUAGCUUUUUUUGGCUAAUGGACACAUUCUGAAUUUUGAGAGAGCAAUGUGGGCAUCAGUCACAACAUGGGUGCCAUGAGGAAUCAUAGAAUUGUAGAGUUGAAAGUCAUCUAUUCUAAACCCUGCAAUGCAAGAAUCCUGUCCACAGCAGUCCUUGGGUGGGCUUGAACCACCAACCUUCUGGUUAACAGUCAGACCCACUGAGCCAUUGCACCACUAAAUGGCAUGACACAAAAUUAAACAGACAACCACCCUCAACAACCUUAUGUUUACCAAAGAAAGUGUCCCGAACACCUUGCUUACCUGGCAGCAAGUCAGUAGGCCAGGUCCAAAGUUCAAAGCCCAAGGGUCGAUCCACACAAGCAAAGAAUGCAGCCUAGAGUAAAACCUGAAGCACAGUCCCAUGGAGGUCCAGGAGCAUCCAAGUCAAGAUCCAUCAACAUGGGCAGCUGAGUAGACACAGCACCUCAGCUCUGCUGCCCAUUUAGACUUUACAUGCUGAUUGCAGCAUCUGGGCUUGAUGAGGCAAUUAACCCUCACCUGUUCCAAGCCUACUCCAGCUGAGGAAUCACACUCUGCCUCUCAGAGCUAAUGAGCCCCACCUGGCCAGCUAGGGAGCUGGCUGUGGGCCCUUGCUUGCCUCAACCUCCUGGAGCACCCUGCCUGCUGCUCCCUAUGCCUCAGAGCCCACCAUGUCCAUAGAGACAGGAGCCUGCUGCUCUGGUUCCAGUGCCCUUACUCCCAUCUCCUCCUCAUCCUCUGUCAACCCUUGAGUACUUCCCACACCAACCUCUCCUUCCCCAUCCCUAGCUUGCCCCAGUGUGUCCCAGUCCCGGCUACACCCCUCGCCAGGAUCCUCUUCCUCCUCUUUCUCCUUCCCAUUGUCCUGCCAGUUUAUGAUACAACGUCUGCUACAUCAUGCUGGUCUUAAUUAUGGAAAUCUCUCUCUCUCCCUCCCUCUCUCUCUCUCUCUCUCUCUCUCUCUGUGUGUGUGUGUGUUCAUCCCUCUCUCGUGUUCACAGAGAGAGCUCCUGUUCCUGUCUAAUAACAACAGGGAGCAUUUAUCAGCACCCAGGAAAAUAUACAAGGUAGCCAUAAUAUUCCCAUUUCACAGAAAUCACUUAGAAAGUACUUGCACAUUUUGCCCCAAGACCUCCUUUCCAGGAUGGCUAGAGGGUUAACUUUAAAAAUAAAAUAAAAAGCUCAGAGUCUGGGGAAUCUGCCCAAGGGCUCCACUGGAAGCCUUCAGGAGCAUAAUGGUGCCCAUGGGUGCUGGGUUGGUGACCCCUGGUGAAGAAUAAUACCACAGAGUUAAAUUUGGGCUUACCUCAGCCAUUUCUUUAUUGGGCAACUACACAAGUUUAACAUCGCAUUGGAUGAGGACCCAACUUCUGGCUAAUAUUCUAGUACUGACCCAAGUUCUGGGGUUCAGCUUUAGGGGAGUGAACAUGAUUCAUGAGUCCAUCACUGAGUGAAUAAUUUCCAUAGUGCCUUCAGGAAACCUGGGAGUGUGGUGACCUUGUAGCCAGUCAACACCGCCCCCCAGCUGGGGCUGUGGGCAUACAGCAGCACCCAAGAUCCCUUAUGGGGAUCCACCCCCUUGGGAAAGUGAUGGGCCCAUCCCCUGCUUAACCUGAUUAUGGAUCCUUCCCACCGGAAGGAAGUUGUGACAAUGUCAAGCAUAUCUACUUCUCCCCUUUUGCUAUGAGGAAGAACCCCGCCCCCACUGCAGAGCAAGGCCCAAUUGCACCUGUGGUUAAAAUCCCUACAUAUCUCUGUCCAUCAGUGGCUGACUACCAUCCAUAGCCCUGUACAAUAGCAACUCCCAAGUGGUAAAAAAGCAGAUCUGAUGAACAAAACAAGGGGGGCUAGGUAGGGAAGUCACCAACAAGACUGCAACCAUUUUGGUUUUUAGAAUUGUGAACCAUUUGAGAAGCCCAGACUAAAAAGCUAAGAAGUGGGCUAUGAUAAUAAUGCUCCAAGAUCUGUGUUCAAUAUUUGAACCUUAGAUUUAAUAUUUAAUAAAGUUGGUACACAGAACUGUCUGGUACUGAUAUACAUGCUAAUAGGAAAGUUGUACAAAACAGCCAUUUUCUUUUCCACUGUCAUCUUAUACAACGUUGCUUUACGGGGUUCAGUUGAGGCUUCAACUGGAAGCAGUACAAUGCCACUUAAAAGGCUGUUCCCAUUUGGGUUUUGACUUUGCCAGAAUUGGGAAAUGCUGGAAUUCUCACAUGUCCCAUUUUUCUAAUAAUUUCAAACUGAGUAAGUAGGCAAAUGAAGUUCUGGAAGGCUGUCCACAUUUUUCUAUUGUUCAGACCAAACCUCUGGGCCUAAAAUUUGGCUCUGGCUCCUCCAACAUAAAAAUGCCAUUAUUUCCAUUCAUAAAAUUCCCAGCUUUUACUGGGAAUUAGCAGAGAUGGUAUCUGAGAGAAAAAAAGGGGGGGUUAAUAUCCUCUCCCCCAAAUUUUCUGUUAUGGAAUGCCACCAAGAUGUUUUUGACAAACCACUUUGCUGUUUUUUUAUGCUCCAGGAGAGAGUUGGGAAAAACAUGAAAGCAAUAUUGUACUACUUACGUGUAGUUAAUCUGAUGCACACAUGGUACUGUUUCUGAGCCUUAGUUGAAAAAGGAUGCAGACAUUUUCAGGACAAAUAUUUACAUCAUUCAAAGUUGUUUGUACAAAUGAAAACUCACUCAAGCCAUCAGAAAGUUGCUUUCAUUAAUCAUAGUCAAGCUGUAAUCCUCAAGGGUUUAUGGAAAACAAACAGUUCAAAAACAAUUAAAUGUAUAUGUGACAAUUGAUGCGAGGGACUUGCUUGGCAUGAAACUGCUCUGGAUGAGUACAGGGAAGAAAGGUGUUACAGGGCAAGACUAGAUGAGGCUCAAUUCAAGCAACAAGCAAUUGUGUAAACGGCUGCUGAAAAGUAAAUCACAGCUAUUGGGCUCCAAUCUGUAGCAGGGCCUUGGCAGGGUGUGUGUGUGUGUGUGUGUGUGUGUGUGUGUGUAAAGAGAGUUAACCCUUUGUCCACUGCAGCCAUCUCAGUCUGGCCGAGGGCCCCUAUGCCUGCUAUUUGCAUUGGGGAAGAAAAACUUACAUUCACUCCAGUUGUGUUGACUGAGAAGUGGAUGCCGUUUACUGCCUACUGAAAAUGUAGCUUAAUAAAUUUAGGUAGGGAUAUCUUUCUGUAACUUUGCCAUAAUGUUAGCAUCCAUCUGUAUAGAGAGACAAUGGAAGAGUGUGCCAUCGGUGGGCCACUCCCCACCUUAAAGCCAUCUCUGCUUGCUUACAGGAGGCCUUGUUCAAGGUCAUCCUCCGCUGGUAUUAGAUGCCAGUCAAAAAUUAAUCCCUCCCUUUUCUCUAUGUUGGAAGGGCUGUGGAAAGCUUGGUUAAUUUAAUUAUGUUUGGUGGGAAUGCCCCCGUGUUAAAAACUUUUGAAAUAGAGUAUUCUCCAUUAUAUCCACAAUCACAAGCCAACCUCUUUCUCCAAAUCCUGCCUCUUUGGAUAGACUUGGGCUCCACUCUGCACCACAUAGAACUACUAGGCUUCUUACUGAUGGCAGCAUAAUAUUUGGGUGAGUGUCUCACCAGACACAGGAGGCAGUGGCGUAGCGUGGGGGGUGCAGGGGAGCCAGCCGCACCGGGCGCAACAUGGGGGGGGCGCGUGCUCGCACUCGCAGCUCUCUGCCCCUACUAAAAUCCAUGGGUUAGGGGACGCAAAUUACUUGCCUUGCCCCGGGUGCUGACAACCCACGCUACGCCACUGACAGGAGGGCAAUUUAAAGCAUAUCGAAGAGAGACACCUUCCAAGAAUCAUGAACCCCUUUCUUUAACUAUGUUAAUGGCCAAAACAAAGGCCUUGUUAUACCAACCGUUCAAUCUUCUCAAUAGAGAGGUUACAUUAAGUAAUAUGCUGGAACAUUGAAUGUGUAAAUUUAUGUCUAAAGUCAAUGGAUACAACAAACCCUAUUUGAUGUACUGCUGUACAAGUGUCUAAUGGUUCUUGUAUUUCUCUAAAAACCAAUAAAAUUAAACCACUGCAGUUACAGUGCCAAACUUGACAAGAGCCAGGGCACUCUUCAAAUUUCCACUUGUCUUCUCAGCAGCCGUGGGGGGGGGGACAUGCUAGAAGUGGGAGGGCAUGUGGGGUGCCACCUCUUGUGCUUCUGCUGCCUGAGGCGGGAGCUUCAUCCCCACCUCAUUGGUGGGCCAGCUCUGCUACUUGUUGAAGUGUUUUCAUUUAUUGUUCUGCUAAAAAAGAUUCAUUUGCGGUUACUCAGCUCCAUCCGUUAUAGCACAUGGGGCUUCUGGGUCACAGCCAGCAACUUUUAUACAGAGACGCCCCACUGAAAUUAGUGGACCUAAGUUAAUGGAUUAAUUUCAGUGGAGAGUAAAAGUUAGCUGAGUCUACCCAUUGUCUUCAUUAUGUUACAUUAGGGCUAGCCAAUAUGGCACCCUUCAGAUGAUGUCCGACUCCAGCUCCCAUCAUCCCUGGCCACUGCCCAUGCUAGCUGGGGCUGAUGGGAGAUAGAGUCCAGCAACAUUGGGAGAGCACCAAAUUGGCUAUCCCUGUGUUGUUGUUUAGUCGUUUAGUCGUGUCCGACUCUUUGUGACCCCAUGGACCAGAGCACACCAGGCACUUCUGUCCUCCACUGCCUCCCGCAGUUUGAUCAAACUCAUGCUGGUAGCUUCAAGAACACCAUCCAACCAUCUCAUCCUCUGUUGUCCCCUUCUCCUUGUGCCCGCCAUCUUUCCCAACAUCAGGGUCUUUUCCAGGGAGUCUUCUCUUCUCAUGAGGUGGUCAAAGUAUUGGAGCCUCAGCUUCACGAUCUGUCCUUCCAGUGAGCACUCAGGGCUGAUUUCCUUAAGAAUGGAUACGUUUGAUCUUCUUGCAGUCCAUGGGACUCUCAAGAGUCUCCUCCAGCACCAUAAUUCAAACGCAUCAAUUCUUCGGCGAUCAGCCUUCUUUAUGGUCCAGCUCUCACUUCCAUACAUCACUACUGGGAAAACCAUAGCUUUUACUAUAUGGACCUUUGUUGGCAAGGUGAUGUCUCUACUUUUAAGAUGCUGUCUAGGUUUGUCAUUGCUUUUCUCCCAAGAAGCAGGCGUCUUUUAAUUUUGUGACUGCUGUCACCAUCUGCAGUGAUCAUGGAGCCCAAGAAAGUAAAAUCUCUUACUGCCUCCAUUUCUUCCCCUUCUAUUUGCCAGGAGGUGAUGGGACUAAUGGCCAUGAUCUUCGUUUUUUUGAUGUUGAGCUUCAGACCAUAUUUUGCGCUCUCCUCUUUCACCCUCAAUAAAAGGUUCUUUAAUUCCUCCUCACUUUCUGCCAUCAAGGUUGUGUCAUCUGCAUAUCUGAGGUUGUUGAUAUUUCUUCCGGCAAUCUUAAUUCCAGCUAGGGAUUCAUCCAGCCCAGCCUUUCACAUGAUGAAUUCUGCAUAUAAGUUAAAUAAGCAGGGAGACAAUAUACAGCCUUGUCGUACUCCUUCCCCAAUUUUGAACCAAUCAAUUGUUCCAUAUCCAGUUCUAACUGUAGCUUCUUGUCCCACAUAGAGAUUUCUCAGGAGACAGAUGAGGUGAUCAGGCACUCCCAUUUCUUUAAGAACUUGCCAUAGUUUGCUGUGGUCUACACAGUCAAAGGCUUUUGCAUAGUCAAUAAAGCAGAAGUAGAUGUCUUUCAGGAACUCUCUAGCUUUCUCCAUAAUCCAGCGCAUGUUUGCAAUUUGGUCUCUGGUUCCUCUGCCUCUUCUAAAUCCAGCUUGCACUUCUGGGAGUUCUCGGUCCACAUACUGCUUGAGCCUUCCUUGUAGAAUUUUAAGCAUAACCUUGCUAGCGUGUGAAAUGAGUGAAAUUGUGCGGUAGUUGGAGCAUUCUUUGGCACUGCCCUUCUUUGGGAUUGGGAUGUAGACUGAUCUUCUCCAAUCCUCUGGCCACUGCUGAGUUUUCCAAACUUGCUGGCAUAUUGAGUGUAGCACCUUAACAGCAUCAUCUUUCAGAAUUUUAAAUAGUUCAGCUGGAAUACCAUCACUUCCACUGGCCUUGUUAUUUGCAGUGCUUUCUAAGGCCCAUUUGACUUCACUCUCCAGGAUGUCUGGCUCAAGGUCAGCAACCACACUGCCUGGGGUGUAUGAGACAUCCAUAUCUUUCUGGUAUAAUUCCUCUGUGUAUUCUUGCCACCUCUUCUUGAUGUCUUCUGCUUCUGUUAGGUCCUUACCACUUUUGUCCUUUAUUUGUCCCUGUGUUACAAAAUACAAAUACAAAUACCUUUAUUGGCAUUACAAGUUAAAACAUUUCAAAACACUAGGAUAAAUUUAAAAGGGACAGAAUGAGGCUCAAACAUUGUCCAGUAGCACCUUAAAAGGUAAAGGUAAAGGGACCAUUAGGUCUAGUCGCGGACGACUCUGGGGUUGCGGUGCUCAUCUCGCUUUAUUGGCCAAAGGAGCCUUAGAGACCACCUAAGUUUGUUCUGGGUAUAAGCUUUUGUGUGCAUGCACACUUCUUCAGAUACACUGAAACAGAAGUCACCAGACCCUUAUAUAUAGUGGGGUGGUGUUGACUGUCGUCAACAGUUGUCUACAGGUUUACCAUACCCAUUGAGUCAAUCAUCCAUCUCCUACUACCCUUCUGAGAAAAACCCCACCCCACCCUCCCACUAUAUAGAAGGGUCUGGUGACUUCUGUUUCAGUGUAUCUGAAGAAGUGUGCAUGUACACGGAAGCUUAUACCCAGAACAAACUUAGUUGGCCUCUAAGGUGCUACUGGACAAUUUUUUUAUUUAUUUCGACUGCAUCAGACCAACAUGGCUACCUACCUGAAUCAGGAAUGAGGCUGUCAAGGAUCACAAGGUACUCUCUGCAUUACAUUAUGAGAGACUUAUAGAAGUGGAAAGUACCUUGAAACUCUUAGGAAGUCAAGUAUAUGAGAAGUGAACAAUGCAGACUCCAGUUUGGCACACCAGUUUCUGUUUUCCUAAUGCACAUUGAGCAGUGUCGUACAGAGCCAAGAUGUGCUUAUGCCGGUUACACAGCCAUUCUACCACAAGCUCAUUUUUUGACCACAGAAUAAAAAUAAACAGUACUAAGUGGACUUUGCAUGAACACAAGUGUGAUAUGAUCUGACCCCGAGUGUGCCUCUAGUGCUACAACGUAGAGAGCCUGCUGCUUUUUUGUUUAAGAUGAAGUCAGGAGGUCUGUGUUUCAGUCCCUCUGUAUGUCAGCCAAGUGCGCAGCUGCCAUACACAUUCUUACUCAAAUUAGCUUGCAUGGUUGGCCUUUAACAUUACCUCUCAAUUCUGCAAAGCUCUAUUCUGAAAGUUUGCUUCUCCGUGUUAUCCUAAAGGCUCAAAGAAAAGCUUUGAGCAGCAGCCGAGACAAAAUUGUGUCAUAAUUUCUUAACACUACAGCGUGUGACACCUGCUGCUUAUGACGAGCCGCGAAAAGAGAGAUGUGCCAGUAAUUUAAACUGUUUACCAACAUAUGGAUAUUGCACUGCUUGUUUCUAGGACUCCAACUCGCUUUCAGAAGAGUGUGCCAACAGAAUAGUUUACAAAGACAUUCAAGACAGACACUAACCAGAUCCACUAUGGAUUGAUGUUAAGGAUAAAUGAGUUACACUCUCCUCUUUAGAAUCAUAUCCAACAAGGUAUCCAUUUAUAACUUGCCUGAGAAGUUAUUAUAUUAACAGUGAAAAUGAAGAGUCAAACCAGCUUGGAAACACAUUCACAUUACUAGCAGUUUAAAAAGCCCAACAGUAAUACAAGGCCUUACCCAAUCAAUGGAUUUCCAUUUUUAUCUAUCUAUCAUCUAUCUAUCUAUCUAUCUAUCUAUCAUCUAUCUAUCUAUCUACUGAUCAAUCUAUCUCCAAAGUCAUUGAAGGGACAUGGGACAUAUUUUGUAGGAAAAAUAAGAGCAAAAGAAAUCAUGUAUAUAGCAAUGGAUAUACAAUUCAAGCUCAUUCUCACACUCAGAAAGAGCAGGCGAGGCUACUAUACUAAAAGAUGAAGCAUCUAAUGUCUCUUUUUACACAACAGGAAAAUGAUGUCACCACAGUUCUGGAACUAGCUUGUGCCACGACAAUUACAGCUAUUAAACAGAAUUAAAUCAUGCCUUUCAGAUUUUCUACUUUUCCAACUAAGAACUCUGAAAUCUUCCUGGCACACAGUGAAACAAACACUGUGCUCACAUAGCAUGGUUUUCCUGGAACAUUCCUUGCUUGUUUUGAAAAACUCUUUUAAGCUCACAUGUUAAAUGCUUCUUAAUGGGAGUAUUUGCCAUACCAACAUAUGUAUUCAGACCAAAACACCUCCACCCAUGAUUUAUGAUGAACAAUUCCCACUUCAUUGUCACCUAAAAAGGCCUUGUGAGAGCUACAGUUAAAGAAAUACUAUGUUGGACUUCUAAGGUAGGGUUUCCAGACAUUCCCAUUUCCCGGGGUCAGUCCCCAGAUUUGCGAAUAAGUCCCUGGACAAAUUCCAUCCCUGGAAUGUCCCCGGAUUUCACCUAAUGUCCCCGGGAAAUGCAGCAGCGGCAGCCUCAGCAGCCCGGAGCAGUUGGCUCUGGCUGGCUUCAGGAGCUGCUAGGAAUUCCCAUAUGAUGGUGGUGCAGGGACUCCAAGAUGCAGCUUCUAGGCUGCCUCCACCUUCCCUGACCCCAGCAACUAAGCUGUGAAGGGAGGCUUCAUGCUGCCUAUCGGAGGGGGCAGGGAUCUCUCAGGCAACGGGAAGCCUCCCUUCCCAGCUACGGGAUCCCCGCCCCCUCCUGUUUGCACACAAGUAGGAAUGGGGUUGGGGUUGCUCCAAUGGGAAGAGAGGCAUCGCGCUGCCCGAGCCUUGCCGUCACUCGGCCCUUCUUCUCCGCCUUCCAUGCCUGACCCACCCUGCACCACUUCCCCACCACCAAAGAACCAACAACUCAGUGGCUGCAUAGGCUCAUGGAGAAAGGAGAUAGAAGCCUCGGAUGAAGGGGAAAUGUGGCGGUUGAGGUCAAGGCAGUGGCUGCCCCUCUGCCACCACCAUUGAUAUCGCUGCAGCAUCAAUGUCCCGAACGUGUAGUAUUUAUGUAUGUAUUUGUUUGUUUAUUGGAAGUGUCCCCGGAUUCAUUGGAAAAAAAACUGGUAGAAAGCACAAUAUUUCCCCCAUACCAAAGCCAUGUCCGCACUAGGACAUUAAUGCAUAUUUGAGUCAAUGUUUCUGCGUACGCAUUUGUACACCUACUGUCAUGGUCCGGUCUAUGGGUGAUCAAAGUCCCGGCUGAGGACGUCAGGACAGGGGGCAAGAUGGCAGGGUGGGAGCAGGAACGAGAGUCCAGAAGCCAGGGGUCCGAGGGUCAGGAAGCAGGGAGUCACGAAGUCAAGGGUCUGAGGGUCGAGAAGCAGGGAGUCAGGAAGCCAAGGUCCGAGGAUCAGAAAGCAAGAAGCCAAACGCAGCAAGACAGGAAACGUGUUGCUGUGGCAAAGAGCUAAAGGGAAAUGCUGACCUUAUAUCCCUUCCUGGCUCUAGCCACCAGAUGCAGUGAGUUACCAAGCAGCCUCACCUGUGUGGCCGCGCCUUGCCUCUCCAGAACAAACUUAGGAAGGCCCCAGUCGUGCGAAACCCUACUGGUCACAGGGCCCAGCUCCUGCACACACUCCUGACAGGAAGAGGAUGGAUCUAGACACAUCAAAAAAGUAAUUCAGUUAAACGUGUUGUAAGCUUCUUAAAGGGAAAUUCUGUUGGUGAAAGAUGGGACUCCACAGCGCCAUCUGGUGUCACAGUGUUAUUAUGCAUAUAAAGCGCUUUUUUGUUUACUAAUGUAGCUGAGUCUGGACACACACACAAGCAGCUUCAAAUCCACAAUAAACUCUGGUGUGAACAAGCCCCAAGAAAUAUCACUUCAUAGUGGCCAUAAUUUCAUUUAAAAUAUUCAAGCUAUUUACAGCGAAAUACAUAAAACCAUAGAAUCAAAACCUUUAAAAAGUUAAAAACAGACAGCAAUUACCCAUUGAGGAAAGAUGUGUUCUUAACAGCUUGUGUAGGCCUGGCAGAAUAAAAAAGAUUUCAGCAGGCAUUUAAAAGGUGAAACAGAAAGUGCUGAAUUAAUCUCUAUUGGUAGAGUAUAUUAUUGUUUGACUAUUUGAAAAAUAUGGUACUGUAGGUAGAUUGUGGAAGUUGUGUUAGAUUUACUAUCUGUGCCAUAUAUGUAUAUUGCUAAAGUCCAGAAGAAAAAGUAUUGCUUCCUUAAUUUCAGAAUGGUUUGAGAAAAUUUGGGCUAUAGUAAUUACGACAAAGCUGCCACAUUAUAGAAGACAAGCAAUGUUCAAGCUAACAGAUUUUUAAGAAAACUGAUCUUCGUUUGUUAUAUUUUGGAACGAUAAAUUUUAGAAUAUCCAUCUACAGGUAUGUUAUACAGUGAUUUUCAUCUGUUGUAAAAAUGGAACAUUUGUGUGUGUGUCAUUUUUAUCAGAGCAGCUAAAGGUGGAAGCCGAAAUGUUUUGCCACAUAAAUAAAAAAUACUGUUUUGUUACUGGCUAACACAUAUAUUGUAUUUAUAUAUUAAUUAAUUAAAACAACAACAGUAAUAAAAAAGGAAGAAAGAAAAUAAGAUCAAGCAGAUGAGCAUUUCAUAAGGGAUCUGCAAUAUAUGUUUCCUUGGAAGUAAUUCCCAAUCAAUUCAGUCAAAUUUAUUUCCCAGAAAGCAUCUGCAUAAUUUUAGCCUUAAAGUCUAGAAACAAGCUUGCUGAUAAGAGGUCUAACUAAUUCAGUCUCUAGAAUUGAUCAAAUAUUAGGCUGAAAGAUAUCUUGGUAUGUUAUGCAUAGCUCUUAACAUAGAAUAGUCAUCUGACAGGAGCAGCUCCUUCCAAGCAAAAUGGAAUUCAGCAACUGGAAGUUAAUCUGAGACCAAUUCAGCCUCAAAAUAAAACAUUGUGUAGCAGUAAUGGUAAUUAAAGACUAGUAUUUGUCUCAGGAGACCUGGUAGACCCACUUUAGGUUAGAUAUUUCAAGUCACACUUCUGAUCUUAAGGCACCGCCCAUCAGAUGCUGAAGGAGGCUGCUGUGUACAAGAAUCUCCACCUAUUGCAGAGGGGGAAACAGGAGUCUCUGGAACUGAUGCGAUUAAAUAUUGCCACUUAUCUGGAAAACUGGGGCAAUGGAUAUGGGGCAGGAACCACUGUAUCUAACCCUCAAUGUAGUCAGGGUGAGGUAAAUGGUGGCACCCCUGCCCCAAAGCUGUGCUUUACCACCAGUCAUGAUUAUUUUUUUUAAAAAAUGUAUUUUUAAUUUGUGAUAUGUCAUACAAUGGCAGCCUCCAUUUAAAGAAUGACAGCUUGUUUUAAGAACAGAAGCAAUUUGGGAAUCGAACCCUCUGAAAAAUUCAGUGACUAAGGCAGGGAGAGCACACAACGAAAGCCACACCUGCAAGAGCCUCCAAAAGUCUGCUCACUCAAUCUGAUUUGAGAGUGGAAUUUUCAUUAUCACAAUCACCGGAUAAUUGACAUGACCCUUGAAGAGUAAAAUACUAGUACUUUGUAGUAUGUGCUAGAGUUAGACUCCACCCCUUGGACUUUCCAUUGCUCUGAUUUUCAGUUUCAGCUGUGUUCUCCACCCAGUCAGUAAUAAAGAAGCAUACUUGUUUUUCCUGCAAUAAGAAGCAAAAGUUUGCUUAUUCUGCAGUUAUUUUGAUGAGCACAGCAGGGUUUGAUGCUCAUUAAAAUAAAGAGUUACCAAAAAGUGAUCUGAAAAAGUAUCUUUCCUCUUCUAAAGCACUCCCUAUACUAUACCCUCCAACAUUUCUUCGAUGAAAAUAGGGACGUCCCAUUCUAUAAUGAUAACUUUGCUAUUUGUACCCCACACAUCUUACUGGGUUGCCCCAGCCACUCUGGACAGCUUCCAACAUAUAUAAAACAUAAAAAAUCAUUAAAAAUUUUUUUAAAAAACCCUUCCCUAUACAGGAUUGCCUUCUGACAGCUCCAGGGUCAGAUAACGCCAUACCCUCCAACAUUUCUCCGAUGAAAACAGGGACAUCCUAAGGAAAAGCAGGACAUUCUGGAAUCAAAUCAGAAACCAGAAUGGCUUCUCUAAAUCAGGGGUGUCCCUGGAAAACAAGGACACUUUGAGGGUCUGCUAUACACACAAACACAGUGGUUAUUUUUUUUUCUUGAGUAUAUGAUGGCAAAUAAUAAAAACAGUCCUAGAGGAACAGAAACAUUGUGGUGCACAGAACAGUUAGCUUGGCUGGCCACCUAGGCUAUAACUCAGGCCUAAUUUCUGAUUUUCCCAAAUUCUAAGUUCCAUGGGCAAUUGUCUAUAUGCAGCCUACAAUAUACAGCCAACCCUGUGUUAAUUCUCUCACUGGUUCUGGAAACAGUAAGUUGCUGUGAAGCUGGGCAACAGAGAAACCUCUGGAUCUGUUUUGAAGUUAACAGAAAAGUCCUAGCACAUGGUCAAGACAUGGAAUGCGACAGAACACAAAAUGCUUGGGCCAAAAACACACUUAUCAGACUACUCACACGAGACUGCAGGUGUGGGAAUGUGCGUUUGACUGCCUCUGUACCUAAUCCCUGUUCACGCAAAAUUUGUAUUUCAGAGAGAAGGAUUCUAGCCCUGCUUCAUUAUAUUUCUCAAAACAUUGGAUAUACCAAAGUAGAGAUUAACAUGUCAGAUAUGUAUGUUAUCUUUCUGACACAGUUAUAUUUAAAUACAUAAAUGAAAACU